GCAAGAGUCAUGUGACUUUCAUGUGUCUAAAUCCCUCAAAUCUAAUUCAUUUGGUACUUGGUAUUUGCCACCAUCUAGAUAGUUACCACUAAUCAAUGCCUCUUUGUAGCAUGUAAUAAAAUAGCUAGUCGAACAACUAGCGAUAACCACUUGUAAUCCUACUAAACCCUCCAAAUAAUAGCAUUAAUCCUGUUGCCAUCGGGAAGAUGACCUGGCUUAGGCCACUGAGC
rnacentral:lncRNA from 1 species